GUGGGGAAUCUUCCACAAUGGACGAAAGUCUGAUGGAGCAACGCCGCGUGAGUGAAGAAGGGUUUCGGCUCGUAAAGCUCUGUUGUCGGGGACGAAUGUGCAGUAUUUGAAUAAAGUACUGCAAUGACGGUACCUGACGAGGAAGCCACGGCUAACUACGUGCCAGCAGCCGCGGUAAUACGUAGGUGGCAAGCGUUGUCCGGAAUUAUUGGGCGUAAAGGGAGCGCAGGCGGGAAGGUAAGUCGGUCUUAAAAGUGCGGGGCUCAACCCCGUGAUGGGAUCGAAACUAUCUUUCUUGAGUGCAGGAGAGGAAAGUGGAAUUCCUAGUGUAGCGGUGAAAUGCGUAGAUAUUAGGAGGAACACCAGUGGCGAAGGCGACUUUCUGGACUGUAACUGACGCUGAGGCUCGAAAGCCAGGGGAGCGAACGGGAUUAGAUACCCCUGUAGUCC
rnacentral:rRNA from 1 species